rnacentral:ncRNA from 1 species
UUGUUUGGGGUGCUUUCCUGAUGUUUGGAAGGCUGAGAAGACACCCUUUGAACCUGAUCUGGGUAAUGCCAGCGAAGGGAAGCGAUUUGG